ensembl:lncRNA novel transcript
CGGGUGUUUCCUUGUUCGGAAUGGGGUUGGCUCCUCUUUGAUUUUUUACUUCUGGUGACCCACGCAAAAGCAGUCCCGACCUGGUUGUAUUAAUAAUAAAGGCUGUAAGGAUCAGCCUUUUGAACGGUCCAGCCGAGAACUAACCACAGAGCGCGUUUUAGUGGAGUGGUACUUAUUUUUAAAUAAGAUACUGAGUUUACUACAAAUGGAAGGUUUGAGGCAACCUUGAUGGAGCAAGUGUAUGGGUGCCAUGUUUUUCCAACAUCAUGUGCUCACUUUGUGUCUCUGACAUAUUUUGAACGCAAGACUAUAUUUACUAGCAGCUCUGUGUCCUUGCUCAUUGGAAAAUGAUCUUUCCUCAAGACUUGCUGACACGUUUCUGUUUAAGGCAUGACAAUCCUAAAGGCCAACAAUUGUGGACGGGGGCAACUCUUCCUUUCAUUAUGUACUGGUGUAGUCAAUUAUGCAAAGUCUGGUCAACCAAAGACCACCAGGCUCAAGCCAUCAGUUUU